rnacentral:rRNA from 1 species
UCUACGGGAGGCAGCAGUGGGGAAUAUUGCACAAUGGGGGAAACCCUGAUGCAGCGACGCCGCGUGAGUGAAGAAGUAUUUCGGUAUGUAAAGCUCUAUCAGCAGGGAAGAAAAUGACGGUACCUGACUAAGAAGCCCCGGCUAACUACGUGCCAGCAGCCGCGGUAAUA